ACCAUUAGACUUUGGUGGACAGCAGCAAAACGUCGGUAAUAAAUCACGCUGAGGAACAGGAUUCAGUGGAUUUUACGCAUCUAAAGAGCGCAUCCCAACUCUUGUGCUUUAUCCCUUUUAUCUUUUCAUUUCUAACUUUCUUGGAUAAGCAGUCUAUGUGAAUGAGAAUAAUGGGGAAAUCGGUAUCCCAUAAGUUAAAAAGGUAAAAAUGAAGCAUUUGUCGGAGUGACUGUACUGUAGUUAUAUAGCUCACCAUGAUUUUUUUUUACCUCACAGCCAUCGGCAAGUGCAAUUUGUAAAACAGGUAUUUGUUUAUAUUAAACAUUAAUGUAAAAUAGCCGUAGAGCCUAUUUAUUCCGCGCUGUCUUUUUACUACUAAGCGAGCAGCCCCUUUGUACAUAGUAUGUGGUGAUUAGUACCGAAGUGAGGAAUUUGAGCCUCUCUCUCUGUCUCUGGCUUUACAUGCUAUUGUGAGGUGGUGUGUUGACGUCUGUGACAAUAAAAGGAAGUUUCACUGUUAACUAUUGAUUUAUUAUUUGCAUUAUUUUAUUUUAGAAAGAGUUUUCUUUCAUAUUCUGUACUCCAUUCCAUUUUUUGCACAAGUAAUUUACCAAGAGGGACAUAAAACCUUUUGGUGAUGCUAAAAAGUAAGAUUUUUUUCCUAACACUGGAUUUGCAUGUCAGGUAAAUGAAUAAGGUGCCAAAGUGUUUUUAUUUUUAACCUGCUUCAUUAUGGGGUAUAUUCAUGCAGGACAUUAGUGUUUUUAAGCAACAUGCAUUGAGGCUGGAGUAUUUCACAUCAGAUGAAAAACACAGGUGCCAUUGUGCUCAAUGGACACUCUUCUAUUCAGAUUUUCCCAGCAAGCCAUGACAGUGUGGCAGGAAGCCAACAUGCACAACAACACGACUCUGAAACUGAAGCGUCUGAAUCAAAUUCAACCAUUAUUUGACACCUGCAACCCUAACCCGUGCUUCACCUGCUCUAGCAUGGUUUUUGUUGGGGUAUAGACCUGUUUAAUUAAUCAGUUUGUUCAAAGAAUCUGAAUUCAAAUGUGAUGAUAUUCAAUUUAAAUUGCACUAUUACAUGCAUGUCUUUGUUGGCAGACCUUUCAACUCCAUUUGGCCCCAUCUGUUUUGUAGGUCUUGAUGUAAUUUAUAAGCUGCACAGAAAUACAAGUUGCAGCUCGCUGUGGUUUUCACAUUACAAGUCACUGUGCUGAUUUAAAAUUCUAGAAAUGCAUAAUGUGACUCAUACGAGACAGAUUGUCUGAGUAAUGGUCAAAAUCAAAGCAGCAGAGAUCCUCAAUGUUUAGACUUUCUUGCAAAUCUCCCCUUUUGAGCCUAAUUUCAAAAACUAGCUGAAAUAACCCUGAUGACAUCACGGUGGCGUCAUCAGAGUUACUUCCUUGGACUUUGGAAAUCUACUCCUAAAGACAGAAAAAAGAACUUUUGGUAUAAAAUUAGCUGAGUGCAUCUUCAAGAAGGGAAAGGUUUUUUUUCAGGUACAAAUAUGCUAAAAUAGCGUAAUAUAUAUAUAAUAUAAUAAUAUUAAUGUGUUUUCAUGUUUAGCAUUUUUUUAAAGGUCACCUAUGCUCACUGAUUUAACCCCUAAAAACUCACCUUUGUGUCAAAGUUAGAUAUCUAGAAGUUAUUUUCAACAAAAAUAAUCAUUUACUGGUUUAAAAUGGCUUGGAUCUUUGAAGUCCUUGGAUCUUUCUCCACUCAACCUUUCUCACUCACUGCAGCUGGAACACACCUGCUCGCCUACAAUACUCUGUAAAACUACUCUAUAGUAUACAUAGGUUUGUUAAGUUACUGAAUGUCUAAAUAGGUGUGUUUUUGAGACUGAUUUGUAUACUGUGGGGUCAAGAAAAAGCUUAUUUUGCUCACAAUAUGUCUUCCAAUAUAUAAAAGGACACCAUGUUAACCAAGUAAAAAGAACAAACUUGAUUUCCACUAUUUAUCUUAGUGCUGCCUUUGAUCUGCAAUCAAGCUAAGCCCAAAUGUUCUUAAGCUCUCACCUGCAAACAGUUGCACUCAGAAGGUUAAUUUCCUCUUGAGUAUGCCGUUUGAUGGUUGCAUUUUCCUCAAGCCGUACUCAGAGAGCCUAUGGAGAACGUUUCAGUAAACAUCAUGACAGCUGGUGUUAUGAAGUGGCUCUUACAGCGGAGAUUUGCGCCUCUUUCUGGGGAAUAUUAAUUAGCCCUUAAGCUGGACGUCUUUAAAAUGCAUUAGCAUGAUGUGUUUUGCUAAUGAAGCUCUCCCAAAAGGGCCGAGGCAGUACAUUUCAAUUAGAGCAGAAAAACUGAAUGGACCUGAGCUCAGCUGUUUUGUCUAAUGAACAUUGUUUAGAUAUGAUUGGCCGAGCUAAUGGGUGUGAAUGAAACUCAGUUUUUGGAGGAAAAAAAAAAAAAACUAAACAAAAAUCACACCGUCAGUGGAACCAGUACCAUUGAUGGCCUCCUGGCAAAGCCUCACUUCAUUAUUAAGCAUUGUUUGUUUUGGCAGGAAGUUUGCGUUUUGGGCAGAUUAGCUGUGAGCUCACAGAUGGAGAGACUAAUCAGUGGCUUGAAGAAUAAUUGCUUCAAAUUGUCUGUGUAUCAGUCGAUAUUUUGGCUGCUCCACAGUCAGAGCACAUGAAUUAUCAACAUGGCCUUUGCCUUAACAGAGGUUACUGGUGGUCUGCAUUGAGUUUAGAUUCAAAAAUAUGUCUGGUUCUUGAUUUAUUUAUUUAUUUUAACCAACAAUGUAUUAUUGGUAAUGCACCUCCAGAGCAUUUUACAAUCCAGUCAAGGAAAUUAGACCAAGAUAGAUGUUAAAUACUGAAUCACAUUCCUAUUCUUUAUUGAAUGUGAUUUAUAUAGCUUAUACACAAUAUAUGGAGAAGGAGGACAUUGUCUUUUGCAAAGGAGUGAAUCAUUGUUCAUCGUUUUUGAAAUGCAGUUAUCCGGUUUCUUGCUGAGACUGAGCUGAGUCUACCUUUUCAUUGUUUUGCAAAUUAUAUGCAAAUCUGUCUGCUUGUAAAAAGAAAAAGAAAAGACUCAGUGCAGCUCAUACUGGACUGUUUCAAAUGUGUCCAAACGUGAAUGGAUUUCAACUUUCUCAGCAUUAAAGAAAGUAAGACUGUUGUGUUUGGUCUGAAGGACUUGUUGGAUGAUCUGGAGUCACUUUUGGCUCUUUGGCUUCAUAAAAUGGAUCUUUUGUGACAACAUUUUCCUCCACAUUUUAUAGACAGAUCAGCUCAGUUGUCGAAAGAAGCGUUUUUCAAGACUUUUAGCCAAGAUGAAGGCCUAUAUUUGACUUUAUUACUGUGUGUAUAGACUCUUGUAAGUCUUUGUAUGUGGAUGUAGAUCAGUCGUUUCUUCAUCGUCUGCAGCUGAUACAAAAUGUGGCUGCUCAUCUUCUAACAAGGAAUAGAAAGCGUGAUCACAUCACACCAGCAUUGGCCUCCCUCCACUGACUUCCUGUCUGUUUCAGGAUUGACUUUAAUUUAAUUAAUUUAAUUGUGUGGUUUUUAUGGUUUCAAAUGGGUUGAAGCCUCCUUAUUGAGCAGAACUCUUACAUCACCAUAACCCAGUUAGAGCACUGAGGUCGACCAACCAGAUGCUCCAAGAUGCUCUGAGAUCCAGCCUCAAAAAUAGAGGCUCAAAUGUGAGAAACUUAAAGACCCACCUCUUCUCGUUGACUCAGUUAUUAAGGUUUAAGGAGAAUUUCAUACUUAAUCUUUAAAAAAACAUUUUUUAUUGUAUUUCCAUGCAAAUUUGUUUUGCUGCUUUCAUUGUACAAAACUUUUGGUUCAACUCUUGUUUUCAAAUGUGUUUCGUGAAUAAAUUUGACUUUGAGAAGCUCAAAACUGAACAGCGAACAUGUGGCUACAGUCAAGAGAUGGUUUGGUCCAACUGGAACAAAAUCUGCCUACCAGCACCUUUAAAUUUCGCUCACUAUCUUCAUUUGAAAAGCCUAAAAUGCAAAGUUUUGAUUUUAUGGAGGAGGUACUGAGCUUGACCAGGGCAUGAUUGGGUAGAUAUCCCAAAAUUAUGCUCAAGUUCAUAUUUAUUUAUGGCCUAAAGAACCUGGAGAAAUUUUAGGAAACCAGCUGCAACUCAUGAAGUAAUCAGUCCCGCUAUUAAAUUCCCACAUUCCCAGACGUUAAUGCGCCCAUAAAAUAAUAAAAAAAGUCAGGUUUCAUAGCUGAAUGAAGUUCGACAUCUUCCAUGACCUCCGGUGACAGGACUCACACUGUGCUGAAGCUUUAAGCGAGUGUCUGGAUUCCUUCUGAUCCUCUCCGGCGACAGGUGUAAAGUUUCAUCCAGUUAUUACAUUUACUUCACCUCCUCUCAUCCAGAUCAUGAAUAUUAUCUCUGCCAACCACCUACUGCCAUCUGCACUUGAUUAACAACCAACACAAACAUCAUCAAAGAUAAUUAAAAACAUUCUGAUUGUAAGGCUCCUUUGUGAAUCUUAAUGAUAAUCUCCUUCUCCCUAAGUGCUACUGUCAUAUUGGUGCUAAGAGACAUUUGCUUUGUGAUAUUUGGUCAGUGGUCAAGCGUUUAAAUAAUUGAUUCUGCAGAAAACGAGAUUAUGAAACACAAUACUGUAUUGUGUAUUGUCAUUUUCUGCAGGGAUUGUAACUGCAGGGGAGGCUGGUACGAGUACGAGAGCAAAAAAACGAAAAAAGAAAUGACUGAAGGCAAGAAAUGCCAGCACCUGGAGAUAAUUAUAGCUGAUUGCUAAUUAUUAGAACCUUAUCAAACCCCAACAGAGGUGCUAAAUUGUUGCUAUGGGAACAUAAAAGUCGACCUUUUGCACCCCUUAUCUACUUUAAAAUCAUUUGUUUCACCACAUCGAAUGCAAUUGUUUUGUUAGUCUCUCAAGCUCAAAAAUUUGAACCACAUGAUAGAUUCUGUGGACAUACUUAAAUAAAUGUAGCUAAUAGAGAAACAAAAUAUUAUUUAUGAAUGUGAGAGAAGGCAGAAUGACAAGUAUGACCUCAUGGAGACCCUGCAGCUGGCACACCUCUCUCUGAUGCAGAAACACUGAUAAAGCUCGACUUCCAUUGGCUGAAGAAUGCCUUGUAACCCUGUAAGAUCUAAUUCCCCUGUGAUUUUUCCACUCUAAGUCACGCUGUGAGUGUCGAGGUGCAGCGCCAGAAGCAGGUGCUACACUUCAUGUGUCCAUCUGUUUGGAUUCUCGUGUGAACUUGGCGCUUUGUGGUCUCCAUCUGUUGGGCUUUGGCUCGCUCUGACUGUGGCUCAUGUAAAGAUUGAUCGGAUGCGGUCAGUCAUGUUUAACAUUAAUGUUCAGUUUUUGCAAUGACAACUUGACUCAUUUGUGAGAACAUGAACAAAGAGACUAAAUAUAGCAUGAGCACAUAUCCGCUUUUAGAAACAUUUGCAGCAGGACUAUAAAACAUGACUGAGGUACCCUUUUCCUGUUUAUAUCAAACAUAUACAUCAGCACUGUUCCCUCUAAGCUGCGCGCGUGCGCGAUUGCGCACUGCUGACACGGUCUCCGCGCACAGAAAAUCUGCGCUGCGCACAAAAAAAAAAUCCAACCUAAAUUGUAAAUAAAAUAAACACGUAACAAUUCAUUCUGUGCUAUUUUUCAAUGUGAGUUAGUGAGUGACCGGUGACUGGCUGCUGCAGCCAAUGAUGCGAUUCACUUACCAUAGACUGUAUAUAAUGGUAUUUACGCAGCUAAUCAACGUCAGGCAUCCUUAUGUACAGCCAUCGUUGUUCUCAUAGAUAUGAAUGAGUAGAUAGGACACGCCCCUUUGAGCUGCGGCUACAGCGAGGCUAAGCUAGUGGGGGCAAAGUUUCAGUGCAUUCCGUUGAUGUAGACGGCGUGAAAACGGAAACAACAAGUAUGCCGGCUCACUGUGCUGCAUACAAUUACACACUACGUUGUACGAUUGAGACAAGGAAACUUGGAAUGACUUUUCAUAGGUUUCCCAGAGACUAUGGGUUGAGGAGGAAUUGGAAGUUUGUCGGCUUAGACCUGGUGUCAUUCCAUCAGUGUUAAACUUCCCAGCUCAUCUUGGAAGAGUACGUACCAGAAAGACCACGACCAAGCAGCCUUGAGAUCUUAGGCAGCGUCUCCCUGAGGUCCCUCUCUAUCUCCCCACACAUCCACCAACCACUGGAACACAUCUCCAAAGUUCUGCCGGGCCAGCUCAGCUUCCCCUCAGAAGAAGUGCUGCCACCUGCCAGAUGAAGGAGCCUUUUGAGAGGCAGCUGGCAUCGUGAUUGGACUGUACUUUGGUCUGUUCCAAUCCAGCUUCAGCUCCAGAGACGGCAGGCGGGACGAGUCAACGGAGGCCGGGUGGACGAAGGCAUGCAGCUGAGUACAAUCCAGAAAACAACAGAGGAGGAGUGCAGGGCCAGAACAAACAGAGUAGCAUGGUAUGUCUCUUAGAAAACAUCAUAGUAUAGCCUUUGGUAUGAAAAAACGCCAUCAAAUACAUCGUAUAUUGUACAAAUAACAAGUCAAAGCAAAGAGACAUACAUUGUAGAAUUGUAGUAAUUGUGGACUGACUGAUUUACUGAUUAUCAGUAUUUUAUUUUUUACUGAUCUACGGUAAUAAAUACAUUUAAAAAUGGCGCUACUUUGGCUCUGAACCUUUAUCUACCUGGUCGCUCUGUCUUCUGGAGUGAUUUGAUUGGUUAUAUGUCACGAAUAAAACUCCUUUAACUUAACAUCUGUAAACAAAACAAAAACAUAUCAACAAAGUCUUCUGUUAGAGUUUGUGUUCUUCUAAGUUUAACUCCAAGAUUUUAAAUACUUUCAUUUACUGCAAAUGAAUAUCUACUCCAAAUGUCUCACUAAUAAUCAUUAUCAGCCUUAAAAACCCACAAAACACCCCUCUAUACUCGACCACACUUAGUACAGUCCAGUUCCCCCUUCUAUAAAUCUUCUUGGAAUCUUCCACUUCCUGUUUGUCAAAGUGGCCUUCUACCUGGACAGGUUUUGUUGGAGCUCAUGCAACAAACAUUUUGGGUAACUGCACUUUAAUAUGGAUGGAUGACACUGAAUUAGAGUCUGUUUUAAUGAGACUGAGUUAAGAUGUGUAGCUCUGUCAUUAAAUAGGAAAUUAUUUCUCAGAAUUCACAGAGAAAAGUCUGAAAUGUUUGCUAGAUUACUAUCCCACAUGUUCUUUGGCUCAGCUAAAGCUAACUCUCGCCAACUUCUGGAUCUCUUGAGUUGCUUGUUAAAAUAUCUUGCUAGAGGUGCUGAAGCUCAGAAAGUCUGAGAUGUUUGUUCAAAAUUAGCUCAUUCUCAAGUCUUAUCUGAACUGUCCUCUUUUGUUUGAACUUUCUCUAAACUUAGGAGUUAAUGACAGAGCAGCACAUCCAGACUCAGUCUCAUUUAUGUAGAGAUUAAACUUCAGUGUCAUUCAUUGAUGUUAAAGUGCAGUUUUUCAAAUGUUUGUUGCACAUGCUCCCGACCAAAGCAGUCCAGGUGGAAGACGAUGUGAAGAGAAAGCUCCAGAGGAUGAAUAUCACACAUUUACAUUGUAAAUAAAUGUCCUUUAAUUAGACAUUGUUAUGCAAAAGUUGGAUUUCCCUUUAAUGAUGUUCAAAUCUUUGAGUGUUGUUGAUGGUGGUUUCUAAAUGUUUUCUGACACUCGGCCCCAAAGAUUAAAACCUUUUACGGCUCACAAGCUGCAACAAUUCACACAUUGUCAACUAUCUUUCUGACUAAACUGAGAUAAAAAGUGAAAAACUGCCUGAUUCCUGCAUCAUGAACGUAAAUCUUUUUGGUUUUUAUGACAGUAAACUGAAUAUAUUUGGGUUUGACAUUUUAUAAACCAAAACAAGAAAUGAAUUAUUGGAGUAAACAAUCAACAGAUUAGUGGACAAAGAAAAUGUGUUUUCCAACAUGUAUGGCUGAAUUACUCCAACAUUACAAGAUACAUACAAUUUUAAUUCAGUUUUAUUUAUAUUUUGCCAAUUACAGGUCAAAUUGUCUCAAGACGCUUUAUUUUUAUAGUAAGAAAUUUAAACCUCUUGACUAAUCCAAUUUAUAAUUUGGUUUUUAAGAGAGUAAUGGACAAUCAAAAUAACUUUCUCCACUAAAACUCCUAAACAUGAGGUCAAAUAGAAGGAACAGUUUUAAAUACUGCAGUCCCACGACGACAAGAAUAAAGUUUCUCAACAAAAACUAAAUCUGCUGAUGGAUUCCAUUAAAGUCCUAAUAAAUGAUAAUAAAGUGUGAUACUAAAGGUUUGUGGUGCUAAAAAUGUCAAAGUAAAGAUAUCGAGUUGAACAUCUGGAUGGAGGUUGAUAAAAGUUGAC